GAAAAAAAUUUUCAAGGCCAUUCUUGGAUACGUGAGAUCCCAAAAUGAUCAGUGAGAAAUGCAUUCCUGAUGGAAUGCCAUCCCUCUCUGCCAUCUCCAUAACUCUUCUCUUGCUCGUUUGUUUUUAGUACAGGGCCUCAGUAUACAGAACUGCUGGAGCCAAGUGUGGUUCAACUCACCUGGAAUCUGAGCACUCAGGAGUCUGAGGCAAGAUUGCCAAGAGUUCAAGGCCACCCUCAGCUACAUGGGUCUCAAAUACUCAAGAGUUCACUCUGCGGCUGAGGAUGACCUCAAGCCUCUGAUCUUCCUGCUGGGAUCACUGAGAGCUGGGAUUACAGCAUUGGGUAAUGUGCUCGGUUCUGUUCGAUGCUGGGGAUAAACCCAGGGCCGCAUGCAUGCUAAGUCAGCACUCUCCUAACUGAGCCAUGUUCCCAGUCCCUAACAACUUCCUUUUAGUACUGAAAUUUCCUCAUAUGGACUUGGACUACCUCCCCUUUUAUUCAGGCCUUCUUAGUUUUGUUACCAUUUAUUUAUUUACAUUUAUGCUCCGGUGUGCCCACACAUUUAGGAGUGGCUGUGGAGUCUAGAAAGGGGCAUUAAAGCCCCUGGAGCCAUAGUUACAGGUAGCUGUGAGCCACUCUAUGUGGAUGCUGGAAACCAAACUCUGCAAGGGCAGGAAGCACUCUUACCUGCUGAGCCAUGUCUCUCUCCAGCCGCUUUUUAGGGUCUCCUUAGGUGUCUUUCGGAGAAGUAUGUUUUUGCAUAUGGAUAGGGUACAUCUUCUGCUUUAUUUACCACUGAGUCCUAUUUUGAUUUUGUUGUGAUAUUUUUUUUCCAGAUUGCAUUUCCAAUGGUUUUGUUUGGUUGGUUUUGCCAAUACAUAGAAAUACAGUUACUUUGCAAUUAAGAGUUUAGAGCCAACAACCCUGACAGAAUCUGUCUAAUAAUUUUUCUAUACAUUUUUUAAAAGAUUUAUUAUUGUAUCUAAGUACACUGUAGCUGUCUUCAGACACACCACAAGAGGGCAUCAGAUCUCAUUACGGAUGGUUGUGAGCCACCAUAUGGUUGCUGGGAUUUGAACUCAGGACCUUUGGAAGAGCAGUCAGUGCUCUUAACCACCACCGAGCCAUCUCUCCAGCCCCUUUCUAUACAUUUUCUUUUUUUUUGCAUUUUCUGUUAUUAGACGCGUUCUCACGACCGGCCAGGAAAGACGCAACAAACCAGAAUCUUCUGCGGCAAAGCUUUAUUGC
rnacentral:lncRNA from 1 species